rnacentral:lncRNA from 1 species
GGGGAUCGACGUCGUACAGGGGAAAGUGAAGCUGAUCGACUUCUUACAGGAGAAGGUGAUCGGCUCUGUACAGGAGAAGGAGACCUACGACGUCGGAUAGGCGAACGAGACCGACGCCGGAUAGGCGAACGAGACCGCCGCCGGAUAGGUGAACGAGACCGACGUCGCAGCGGCGAACGAGACAGACGCCGCAGAGGAGAACGAGAUAGACGCCGGACAGGAGAACGAGACAGACGCCGGACAGGAGAACGACGCCUGACAGGAGAACGAGAACGACGCCGAACAGGAGAACGAGAACGUCGUCGGACAGGAGAACGAGAACGACGCCGGACAGGUGAACGAGAACGACGCCGGACAGGUGAACGAGAACGAUGUCGUAAAGGAGAACGAGAACGACGCCGAAUAGGAGAACGAGAACGACGUCGAAUAGGAGAACGUGAUCUGUAGCGCACUGGUGACCUGCGUCGCAAAGGAGAUCGUGAUCUGCGCCGCACAGGAGAUCGUGAUCUGCGCCGCUGACGUCCUAUAGGU